AAUAUUAAAUUCAAGAAUAAAUGCGUAUGGCGGCCAUGGCGAAUCUCACGCGCGUGUCCGGGAGUUUGCAUCGACUGACGAUGAAAGUUUGUUCAACCUCUCCGCUGCCUUUCUGCGGUUACCGCAUUUUAUAUUCACAUAGUUUCUGUAAAUCUGCAACUACUGUAAGAUAUUUUGCGAGAGACUCUCGCCACAGACACAAUAACAGAUAUCACAGCUCUUCUACACAUAAAACUGUGCGCAUUGGAUGUGCGUCGGGGUUUUGGGGUGACACUGCAACAUCAGUUCCUCAGCUCAUAUAUGGUGGGAAACUGGACUUUCUUGUGUUUGAUUAUCUGUCUGAAAUCACCAUGUCACUGCUCUCAGCAGCCAAAGCUAAAGCACCACAAAUGGGAUACGCUCCUGAUUUUGUCCUUUCUCUUUCUCCAUUUAUUAAGGAUAUCAGCAAAAGAGGUAUUCGUGUGGUCAGUAAUGCUGGAGGUGUUAAUCCUCUGGCCUGUGGAGCAGCUCUUCAAGAAGUUAUUCAAAAGGCUGGACUUGACUUAAAGGUUGCUGUGGUUACCGGCGAUGACCUGAUGCCACAGAAAGACUCUUUGACUGAACUCCAGAUGACUGACGCAGAGAGCAAGAAACCACUUCCAAAGACCGUCCACAGCAUGAAUGUGUAUUUAGGCGCUCUCUCCAUUAAACGCUGCCUGGACCUCGGGGCUGAUAUUGUAGUGACGGGACGCUGCGUGGACAGUGCUGUGGUUCUGGGACCACUGAUGCACUCGUUUGCAUGGGACCGCAGUAACCAUGACCUUUUGGCUGCUGGAAGCCUUGCUGGACAUCUGAUUGAGUGUGGUGCUCAGGCCACAGGGGGAAUCUUCACUGACUGGCACACUGUUCCUGACUGGGAUAACAUGGGCUUCCCGGUGGUGGAGUGUUCUGCUGAUGGUUCAUUUACACUCUCCAAACCUCCAAAAACCGGUGGGCUGGUUUCAUUUGGUACAGUGGCAGAGCAGCUGGUGUAUGAGAUUGGAGACCCACGGCAUUACCUCCUUCCUGAUGUAACCUGUGACUUCUCCAAUGUCACCAUUACUGAAAUACCAGAUGUGGAUGGUGGAGCAGUGAAAGUCGGUGGUGCCAAGGGGUCGCCUCCAUCAGGUGACUACAAGGUUUGUGCCACAUAUAUGGAUGGGUUCAGGGCGACAGCAGUUUGUCCUGUUGGUGGCCCGAGAGCAGUGGAAAAAGCUAGAAGAACAGCGGAGAGCAUUAUCAAAAGGACCCAGCGAAUUUUCAAACAGCUGGGUUUGGAGGACUAUACUGAAGUCAAUAUUCAAGUUCUGGGUGCUGAGGACACAUAUGGACCACAUGCAGUCAAUACAGGAGUUCGUGAGGCUGUGGUUUGGAUGGCCGUCCAUCACAAGCAGAAGAAAGCACUGGAGUUUUUCUCUAGAGAGGUCGCACCAGCGGGAACUGGCAUGGCUCCAGGACUCACAGCUAUUGUAGGAGGACGACCAAGAAUAUCUCCCGUGCUGAAGCCUUUCUUUUUCCUGUAUCCCAAAUCAGACCUUGAGGUGCACAUUCAUGUCAAUGGGGAGCAUGUGGAGACACACAGAGAGGCAGUGUCAGAGCCUUCAUUAGGAGAAACACACAACUCCUCCCUUCGGUCAGAGGAGAGCAGCCUAACAUCCACAGAUCUGCCCUCUGGGCCGCAUACCUUCAGACUGGAGGAGUUAGCAUACACGCGCAGCGGAGACAAAGGGGACUCCGCAAACAUUGGUGUUAUUGCACGACACCCACAGUACUUCCCAUAUCUGAAGAAGUUUAUAACUGCUGAAGUCGUGGAGCAGUAUUUCCAACAUUUAAUCAGAAAGGAUCAGACUGGCCAACCCUCCGUCAUACGGUACGAGCUGCCUGGUAUUCACGGCCUGAACUUCAUUCUGCGCAACUCACUUGGAGGGGGAGGGGUGGCGUCACUCCGCAGCGACCCUCAGGGAAAAGCCUACGGGCAAAUGCUGCUGGACUAUAAACUGCAAGGCCUACCUGAUUUAAAAUCACUAAUCAAUUAAAAAAAGGAUGAGGACUGAAGGAUAUCAGGGGCAAGUUGAUGUGCUGGAAAAUGUCAAAAGAAAAGGGUCACCACAGCCGAAAGAACCACCAACUUAUCCAGCAUAUGUUUUACACAGCGGAUGCCCUUCCAGCUGCAACCCACGACUGGGAAACAUCCAUACACACUCAUUCACAAACAUGCACUACGGACAGUUAAACUUAACUAAUUCACCUAUACCACGUCUUUGGACUUGUGGGGUAAACCGGAGCACUCUGAGAAAACUCACGCAAACACGGGGAGAACAUGCAAUCUCCACACAGAAAUGCCAACUGACCCAGCCGAAGCUUGAACCAGCGACCUUCUUGCUGUGAGGCGAUCGUGCUACUCACUGUGCCACCGUGACGCCUUAUAUGUACAAAAUAUUUAAUAAAAUUGUACACAUAUGAGUUAAUUUAUAAA